AUGUGGUUUAUUUUCUACAAUUCAAGAUUGUAUUGGUGCAUCCAUCGCAUGCCCCCUAUUCAUUCAUCUAGGUAGUCCAUGAGGAUUGAGGACGCAUGAUGACUCAAGAUUUUAUGCUUCUUAUUUCUUAAAUUGCUUUUAAUUUCUUUGUUAAAUGUUAAGACUUUAUGUUAGAUAAUGUUAUAACUUAUUUAUGGCUAGUGUUUUUGUUAUGAACAUGCUUAUUUGAAUUAUAAUGAAGUUUUAUUUCUU
rnacentral:lncRNA from 1 species